GGUGCAUCCCAAACAAUGUAGGCCUUCUUAGCUUUGAUGUCCCGAGAGUCUUUCAUGUUGUCAUGUUCAAUCUUCUUGAGAGAGGUAGGACAUGUAUACCUCAUGUGGCCUACUUUCCCACUCUUAUGGCAAGUUGCUUUGUCUUUGGGACACUUUCUCAUUCUGAUUGAACCUUCUUCAUCUUUCUUAUGAAGCCUCUUGAGUCCUCCAUUCUUUCUUAAGUACUUUCUGAAUUUG
rnacentral:lncRNA from 1 species